rnacentral:lncRNA from 1 species
UAGAUGUGUGGAAUUAACUUUAGCUAAAUUUUAACCUAAUGCUUCUCCUGUGAGGGACCAAAAGUCAAUAGAACCACCAGCUUUUCUGUUCUCACCUUUUACACCUCUCUUAGCUGUGUUUUAAAGAACUUUGAUAAACUUUACCCCCCUUUGUUAAGUGAGAUUAGGGAAGCAGUGUUUUCUUUUCUUUUUUAGUUGGCUUGAGCACGCCCACUGCAGAGGGAAAUGCCUGGGGUCUAAAAACUUUGAUAUCUUGCUUAAACUUUUCUCAAACAAUUGCAAGCAGAGGAUGAACUUUUUUGGGAAGCUGACUACUGAAAAGUUAGGAGAUGUGAAAAAUGCCUGGUGCCUGGGGUCAAACCAAACCAGAGGAACUAAUCUUGGAAGUAAAAGAUGGGGCUGAGAGACUCCCAGCAGCUGCCAGAGCCAUUUUGCUCUGGGGAACUCCCUCAUCCCUUACCUGCACUUUAAGGAUUACUCCACCUCUGUUUACUUAACCAAAGGGACAAUGAAUGCAGUAAUGUGUUGAUAUUAUAGAUUGUUUCUUGGGAAGGAUCUUGGCUGAAUGUGUAUCUAAAAG